rnacentral:rRNA from 1 species
UAGGGAAUCUUCGGCAAAUGGGGGGCAACCCUGACCGAGCAACGCCGCGUGAGUGAAGAAGGUUUUCGGAUCGUAAAGCUCUGUUGUAAGAGAAGAACGUGUGUGAGAGUGGAAAGUUCACACAGUGACGGUAACUUACCAGAAAGGGACGGCUAACUACGUGCCAG